AAGGGUAUAGCUCAGUGGUAGAGUAUAUGCUUAGCAUGUGUGAGGUCCGGGUUCCAUCCCCAGUACCUCCA
rnacentral:tRNA from 1 species